GUCAGUCACAGCGCUCUUCCACCGUUGAGCUCCGGCUUGGUUGGCCUUCGCCGCCCGCCUCUCUCGUCAGCUUGACUCUAUUGGUCAGCGUCUGAAGGAGGGGAUGGGGUUUGAGGAACUGACGGAUUAUGAGAGGUCGGGUGAGCUGUCAGUCAGAGGAGCUUUUCGACUACCCGGCGUCAGCAGGCUUGGCUUCUGCCUUUAAAAACCGGAGGACGAGAAGUGCUGUUGUAUGAACUCUGGUGACAAUAAAACCCAUGAUGUUGCAUGGAUAAGCAGACUGACAACUUGGAAGAUUUUUCAGCACCUAAAGAAAAGUGUUUAUAACAGUGGGAUCUGUAAUCAACUGUCACAGAAUCACAGAAUGUGAUUCUCACUUGCAGAGAUCAUAGACCACACAAGAACACAUCCAGGUAGGUUUUGAAGGUCUCCAGUGAAGGAAACUCCACACCUCUGAGCAGCCUGUUCCAGUGCUCUGUAUGUCUCACCAUAAAGAAGUGCCUCUCCAUGUUGGUGUGGAACUCCUUUUGUUCUAGCUUGUACCCAUUGUUCCUUGUCCUGUCACUGGGCACCAAUGAAAAGAGACUGGCACCUUCAUCUUGCUAUCCAUUGCUCAGAUAUGUAUAGACUGUCAGAGCACAGGGAAAGAAUACUGCUGCCUGCUGAAGCUGAUCUAAAACUGGUGUUGCCAAAAGGAGCAGCCAUGUUCUUGCUUCCACUGAAGGCCAUAUGUCCUGUGCAACUUGAUCUAGGCAUACCUGCAUUAGCAGCAGAGGCUGGACCAGAUGAUCUCCAUUGGUCCCUUCCAACUUACCAUUUUGUGAUUCUAUGAUUCUGGUUUUAACUUUUAUGCAACCCUAACAAUCAUGUGGCUGUGCCAAAAGCAGGCUUACUGAUCCACCUGAAAAGUAUCAUGGGAAAGGAAAAAAAAAUCAUUAAUCUUGUGAUAAUUAGUAGGACAAUUGCUAGUGCCAGCUAUUGUUCACACAGUACAGAUUUCAAGCUGUGAAUCAACAUCCACGAGGUUUAAAUUCAGCACGAUAAGAACUGGGAAUACAAAACGCACUACUGCCAAGCUAUUUCACUUUGUGAAAAACAAAUGGGCCAAGGCUUGUGCAGAAGAUGUAAAGGCACAUUAUUACAUUUUUCCAAUAUAAAUGCAGUUGAAAAAGGCUAAAGAAAAUUGUGUUUAUAACAUAAAAGGUUGAGCAGGAUAUAGGAGGAAAAAUAGAAUGAACUAAAAGUAGUUAUCUGACUGAAUGGCUAUUUAAAUAAGCAUAGCAGUGCAGAAGCUUUCAAGCAGGGUUUGGGAUCAUCUUCAGGCUUAACAUAUUAGUACAUCAUAAAGUGCAGUGCAUGAAAGUAAUUUUAAACCCCCAGAUAUUUUUAUUAUACUUUCAUCAAUGCUAUAGAUUAUUUAACAUUUUAUCCACCUUUUUUUUUUUGUUGUCAAGUCUGAAGAUAUUGGAUCCCCUGUAAUAUUAUUUCUUGUUCUCUUGCU